rnacentral:rRNA from 1 species
CCUACGGGGGGCAGCAGUGGGGAAUAUUGGACAAUGGGGGCAACCCUGAUCCAGCCAUGCCGCGUGUGUGAAGAAGGCCCUCGGGUUGUAAAGCACUUUCAGUGAGGAAGAACGCCUGGUGGUUAAUACCCAUCAGGAAAGACAUCACUCACAGAAGAAGCACCGGCUAACUCCGUGCCAGCAGCCGCGGUAAUACGGAGGGUGCGAGCGUUAAUCGGAAUUACUGGGCGUAAAGCGCGCGUAGGUGGCUUGAUAAGCCGGUUGUGAAAGCCCCGGGCUCAACCUGGGAACGGCAUCCGGAACUGUCAAGCUAGAGUGCAGGAGAGGAAGGUAGAAUUCCCGGUGUAGCGGUGACAUGCGUAGAGAUCGGGAGGAAUACCAGUGGCGAAGGCGGCCUUCUGGACUGACACUGACACUGAGGUGCGAAAGCGUGGGUAGCAAACAGGAUUAGAUACCCUAGUAGUC